UAAUACUCUUCCAUCACUCCAGAUUCGAAGUAAGCGAUUUGGAGUUGUAAUCCAGUGGGCAUCAGAUUUUCUUGAGUUCCGGAAGAAAGUGUCUGGAAUCCAAAUUUUUCCAACCAUAUUGCUAUUAAGCAUAAGGACUUUCAUCGAGCUGUUAAAUUUCAGACGACUGUCAUACCAAGUCUGGGCAAAUAUAAUAUCUAUGGUGUAUUCCAUGUUGAUUGGGUCAACUGGGCCAAUGCUGUUAACAUAGACAUCUGUUUCAAUUACGGUAGUUCUCACCCCAAUAUCUGGCCGAAGCUUAUUGUCAUAUCCUUGAAGUAAGGAGUCCAGUAUAUGAGUCACAUCCCCG
rnacentral:lncRNA from 1 species